rnacentral:rRNA from 16 species
GGAUGCGAUCAUACCAGCACUAAAGGACCGGAUCCCAUCAGAACUCUGAAGUUAAGCGUGCUUGGGCGAGAGUAGUACUAGGAUGGGUGACCUCCUGGGAAGUCCUCGUGUUGCAUUCC